rnacentral:rRNA from 1 species
AUUGAACGCUGGCGGCAGGCCUAACACAUGCAAGUCGAGCGGAUGAAGGGAGCUUGCUCCUGGAUUCAGCGGCGGACGGGUGAGUAAUGCCUAGGAAUCUGCCUGGUAGUGGGGGAUAACGUCCGGACACGGGCGCUAAUACCGCAUCCGUCCUGAGGGAGAAAGUGGGGGAUCUUCGGACCUCACGCUAUCAGAUGAGCCUAGGUCGGAUUAGCUAGUUGGUGGGGUAAAGGCCUACCAAGGCGACGAUCCGUAACUGGUCUGAGAGGAUGAUCAGUCACACUGGAACUGAGACACGGUCCAGACUCCUACGGGAGGCAGCAGUGGGGAAUAUUGGACAAUGGGCGAAAGCCUGAUCCAGCCAUGCCGCGUGUGUGAAGAAGGUCUUCGGAUUGUAAAGCACUUUAAGUUGGGAGGAAGGGCAGUAAGUUAAUACCUGGCUGUUUUGACGUUACCAACAGAAUAAGCACCGGCUAACUUCGUG